AGCCAGAAGCCAUGAUGCUGAGUCCACUUUCUCUGCAAUUUUCCCUCUGGUCUGGACUUCUGGACUCUGCUGGUAAUGCAAAUACCUCAUGCAUUGUAACUUUGGGAUUCAUCACACUAGCACCACCGAUGCUGGGAAGAAUCACUCCUCUCUUAAGGUUCCCUAAAGAAAUACAAAGAAUGGCCAUGAGGAGAGAAAAAGAAGCAUUGGUCAUCCACCCACAGAAGGGGAAAAGUCCACAGGGAGAGGCGCGCACAAAAUAAUAAUAAUAAUAAUAAUUGGAAUGGAUGGUGACGCAGCGAGUCAUGGAGGUGGAGGUUGUAGUCCAACAUAUCUGGAGGGUAUCAGAUCAGUGAAACCUGUUUAUGCCACGCAUCCAGGCCCUGACUUCUUCAAAAUGAAAAUAAUCUGCACCAUAGUGAAGAUGGUUUCAUUCUUUGGACUUAGAAACAGCAUUAUGGCUACCAGAAGAAGCAGAAAAGAAAACUCAGGGGGGGAAAACCACUGUUUUAGAGAAAGAAAUCAGAAAAAAAACACAUCAUUGUAAUGUAAAGGUGAAUUCAUAUGCUGGGAAAAUCAGCUAAAGCAAAUUGGAUUUCUUUGAAAGUGCAGAAUUAUCCAAAGCUAGUCUAGCUGUCCUGAAUCCACACUGAUUUAUGUAUUACUUCAUCCCAGUAAUUAAAAUAUUAUUGAAAAAUGCCAACACAGCAGAUUUAUUCCUCUAAUCAGAAUCACUGUCUGAAAUAUCUAUAGCUCCAUUUCAUGAGCCUCAGAAAACAGAUGGUUGGCAUGAACCGAAAUGAGCUUUUCAACCUGCGUGAUUCCCUCAUCCCCAAAUCAUUUUUGU